rnacentral:rRNA from 1 species
AGAGUUUGAUCCUGGCUCAGGAUGAACGCUGGCGGCGUGCCUAACACAUGCAAGUCGAGCGAUUUACUUCGGUAAAGAGCGGCGGACGGGUGAGUAACGCGUGGGUAACCUGCCCUGUACACACGGAUAACAUACCGAAAGGUAUGCUAAUGCGAGAUAAUAUACUUUUAUCGCAUGGUAGAAGUAUCAAAGCUUUUGCGGUACAGGAUGGACCCGCGUCUGAUUAGCUAGUUGGUAAGGUAACGGCUUACCAAGGCGACGAUCAGUAGCCGACCUGAGAGGGUGAUCGGCCACAUUGGAACUGAGACACGGUCCAAACUCCUACGGGAGGCAGCAGUGGGGAAUAUUGCACAAUGGGCGAAAGCCUGAUGCAGCAACGCCGCGUGAGCGAUGAAGGCCUUCGGGUCGUAAAGCUCUGUCCUCAAGGAAGAUAAUGACGGUACUUGAGGAGGAAGCCCCGGCUAACUACGUG